GACAGAGGGGGGCAAGCGUUGCUCGGAAUUACGUGGGACGUAAAGGGCGCGUAGGCGGGAUGGCAAAGUCGGUCGUGAAAUCCCUCGGCUCAACCGAGGAACGUCGAUCGAUACUGCUGUUCUUGAGGAUUGCAGAGGAGACUGGAAUUCCCGGUGUAGCGGUGAAAAUGUGUAGAGAUCGGGAGGAACACCGGUGGCGAAGGCGGGUCUCUGGGCCGAUACUGACGCUGAGGAGCGAAAGCGUGGGGAGCGAACAGGA
rnacentral:rRNA from 1 species